rnacentral:rRNA from 1 species
UGAACGCUGGCGGCGUGCUUAACACAUGCACGUCGAACGAAGCACUUUAUUUGAUUUCCUUCGGGACUGAUUAUUUUGUGACUGAGUGGCGGACGGGUGAGUAACGCGUGGGUAACCUGCCUUGUACAGGGGGAUAACAGUUGGAAACGGCUGCUAAUACCGCAUAAGCGCACGGCAUCGCAUGAUGCAGUGUGAAAAACUCCGGUGGUAUAAGAUGGACCCGCGUUGGAUUAGCUAGUUGGUGAGGUAACGGCCCACCAAGGCGACGAUCCAUAGCCGACCUGAGAGGGUGACCGGCCACAUUGGGACUGAGACACGGCCCAAACUCCUACGGGAGGCAGCAGUGGGGAAUAUUGCACAAUGGGCGAAAGCCUGAUGCAGCGACGCCGCGUGAGCGAAGAAGUAUUUCGGUAUGUAAAGCUCUAUCAGCAGGGAAGAUAAUGACGGUACCUGACUAAGAAGCACCGGCUAAAUACGUG